CAGUAGCCGCGGUAAUACGAAGGGGGCUAGCGUUGCUCGGAAUGACUGGGCGUAAAGGGCGCGUAGGCGGCGAUCAAAGUCAGGCGUGAAAUUCCUGGGCUCAACCUGGGGGCUGCGCUUGAUACUUGGUUGCCUGAGUGGGAAAGAGGAUCGUGGAAUUCCCAGUGUAGAGGUGAAAUUCGUAGAUAUUGGGAAGAACACCGGUGGCGAAGGCGGCGACCUGGUCCUUGACUGACGCUGAGGUGCGAAAGCGUGGGGAGCAAACAGGAUUAGAUAUCCGCGUAGUCCCUGUCUCUUAUAC
rnacentral:rRNA from 1 species